rnacentral:rRNA from 1 species
ACGAACGUUGGCGGCGUGCCUAAUACAUGCAAGUCAACUGAAAUACCGGUAGCAAUACUGGUAUGGAGGUGGCGCACGGGUGAGUAACACGUAGGUAAUCUGCCUUCAGGUCUGACAUAACCCAUCGAAAGGUGAGCUAAUAUCAGAUGAUGCAGCGGCUUGACAUCAAGACAGUUGUUAAAGCUUCGGCGCCUGAAGAUGAGCCUGCGUCUGAUUAGCUAGUUGGCGGGGUAACGGCCACCAAGGCUGCGAUCAGUAGCUGGUCUGAGAGGAUGAUCAGUCACACUGGAACUGAGACACGGUCCAGACUCCUACGGGAGCAGCAGUAAGGAAUAUUGCUCAAUGGCCGAAAGGCUGAAGCAGCAACGCCGCGUGAGGGAUGAAGGGCUUUUGCUUGUAAACCU